rnacentral:rRNA from 1 species
GAUGAACGCUGGCGGCGUGCCUAAUACAUGCAAGUCGAGCGAAUGGAUUAAGAGCUUGCUCUUAUGAAGUUAGCGGCGGACGGGUGAGUAACACGUGGGUAACCUGCCCAUAAGACUGGGAAAACUCCGGGAAACCGGGGCUAAUACCGGAUAACAUUUUGAACCGCAUGGUUCGAAAUUGAAAGGCGGCUUCGGCUGUUACUUAUGGAUAGACCCGCGUCGCAUUAGCUAGUUGGUGAGGUAACGGCUCACCAAGGCAACGAUGCGUAGCCGACCUGAGAGGGUGAUCGGCCACACUGGGACUGAGACACGGCCCAGACUCCUACGGGAGGCAGCAGUAGGGAAUCUUCCGUAAUGGACGAAAGUCUGACGGAGCAACGCCGCGUGAGUGAUGAAGGCUUUCGGGUCGUAAAACUCUGUUGUUAGGGAAGAACAAGUGCUAGUUGAAUAAGCUGGCACCUUGACGGUACCUAACCAGAAAGCCACGGCUAACUACGUGCCAGCCGCCGCCGUAA